GUGGAGGCUUUCCUUCACUUGGGAGAGCCCCCUCCAGCUAAAGGCCCCUCAUGUGAGCAGAUGCUGGAGGUGUCCCCCAUGUCUGCCAGCCCCCACAGGGCCCUCGGAGGAGGAAAACCCCGUACACCCCUCUCCUGUGGAGCGCUCCCCUCCCAAGUCUCCCUGAUAUCUUCGAGGUGACAUGCCAGUCCCCAACCCCCAUUAGCUUUUUGGCCCAGGUGGGCCAGCCUGGGGGUGAGGGCAGGAGAAAAGCCCCAGCUAUCCUCACCCCCCACCAUCUGGGGUCAGGGGGACCCAAGGCUUUUGGCAGCAGGAGUGGGUGUCCCCCGACCUUCAGAUGUCCUGGAGCAUCCAGGAGUGGAUGCUGGUCACUUGGUGAGAGGCCAAGGCCUGGCUGGAGGGGUGGCCUGGGCAGGACUGAGUGCUUGGGCAGGUGGGCGGGGGUUGCCUGCCCCCAGCUGCCCUCCAGCUGUUUAUUCUGUUUGUUCUUCUUUUGACCCCAGCUCCUGUCCUGUCAAACCUCCUUUGAGCAAAAGUCCUGUUCCUGUUCCCUCUGUCCCCACCCCGUUCCCCCAAGAAAAUAAGCUAUCAUUGUUGUAUUUGCAAUCUAUGGAUUAGAGGUUUAAGUAUUUAUUAUUAUUGGUUAAUUAUUAUUAUUAUUGAUUAUGUAAAUCUGCCUCUUGUCUGUCUAUUGCGUUGGGUUUCGGAGGUGACCCUGGGUGUGGAGGAUGCACUGGUCCCCUCUCCGCGCCCCACGCCUGUGCUGUCCAGGAGACAGUGGUGGGGGCCACUGGUUGAGCCCCACAGCCCUGGGGGCAGGUCCCACGGCCCGAUCCCCUCCCUCCGUCCUUCUCCAGGGCUGCCGGUGCCCUGUGGCUUCUGGCCCGGGGCACGUCGGGGCUUUUGCUCUUGAGACACUGGCUGAAGUGAGUCGUUGUGAAGGGAGAAGUCCCUGUCUCAGCCCCCCAGCACAAGGCACCCAGCAAGAGCCCCUCCCUGGUCAGUCCCACCCACUCCCUGGGAGGUGCGGAGUGGGGCCCCAGGGCCCUCCCCCCUCCUGCCAGCCCAGUGCCCUGGCAUGGGGUCCCCAGAAUGGACCUGGCCUCCUCCUAUUAUUUGCUGGAAAGUCCAGCGGAGGAGAGGUGGCAGGUCCGCCCGCCCGGCUCCUGGUCCCUCUGGACUGGGCUGCCCACCCACCUGCCCGCCCCUCCUCUCCGCCCUCUCCCCCAUCGCGGCCGCUCUCUGCUCCCUGUCCUGUCCCCUUCUUUUGUAUUUGGAAAC
ensembl:lncRNA